CGGGCGCGGCGCCGGUCUAAGUCCCUUGGAACGGGGCGUCAUAGAGGGUGAGAAUCCCGUAUGCGACCGGCGACCAAGCCCAUGUGAAACUCCUUCGACGAGUCGAGUUGUUUGGGAAUGCAGCUCAAAAUGGGUGGUAAAUUUCAUCUAAAGCUAAAUACCGGCCAGAGACCGAUAGCGCACAAGUAGAGUGAUCGAAAGAUGAAAAGCACUUUGGAAAGAGAGUCAAAAAGUACGUGAAAUUGUUGAAAGGGAAGCGCUUGCAACCAGACCUGCCCGCGGGUGAUCAGCCGUCCUUCUGGGCGGUGCACUUGCCCGCGAACAGGCCAGCAUCGGUUCGGGCGGCCGGAUAAAGGCCCUGGGAACGUAGCUCCUUUCGGGGAGUGUUAUAGCCCAGGGCGCAAUGCGGCCAGCCCGGACCGAGGACCGCGCUUCGGCAAGGAUGCUGGCGUAAUGGUUGUAAGCGGCCCGUCUUGAAACACGGACCAAGGAGUCUAACAUCUAUGCGAGUGUUUGGGUGUCAAACCCAUGCGCGUAAUGAAAGUGAACGGAGGUGGGAACCCCGCGAGGGCGCACCAUCGACCGAUCCAGAUGUCUUCGGAUGGAUUUGAGUACGAGCAUAGCUGUUGGGACCCGAAAGAUGGUGAACUAUGCCUGAAUAGGGUGAAGCCAGA
rnacentral:rRNA from 1 species